rnacentral:miRNA from 11 species
AUAUGUGUGUGUGCAUGUAUGCGUGCAUGUGCAUGUGCUUUUUUGUGUAUUCCUGCACA